GACGAACGCUGGCGGCGUGCUUAACACAUGCAAGUCGAACGGUAAGGCCCUUCGGGGUACACGAGUGGCGAACGGGUGAGUAACACGUGGGUGAUCUGCCCUGCACUUCGGGAUAAGCCUGGGAAACUGGGUCUAAUACCGGAUAGGACUCCUGGCUUCAUGGUUGGGGGUGGAAAGCUUUUGCGGUGUGGGAUGGGCCCGCGGCCUAUCAGCUUGUUGGUGGGGUAAUGGCCUACCAAGGCGACGAGGGGUAGCCGGCCUGGGAGGGUGACCGGUCACACUGGGACUGAGAUACGGCCCAGACUCCUACGGGAGGCAGCUGUGGGGAAUAUUGCACAAUGGGCGCAAGCCUGAUGCAGCGACGCCGCGUGAGGGAUGACGGCCUUCGGGUUGUAAACCUCUUUCAGCUAUGACGAAGCGCAAGUGACGGUAGUAGCAGAAGAAGGACCGGCCAACUACGUGCCAGCAGCCGCCGUAA
rnacentral:rRNA from 1 species